ACUCGAGUGGCGAACGGGUGAGUAACACGUGGGUGAUCUGCCCUGCACUUCGGGAUAAGCCUGGGAAACUGGGUCUAAUACCGGAUAGGAGCCAUUUUUAGUGUGAUGAUUGGAAAGUUUUUCGGUGUAGGAUGAGCUCGCGGCCUAUCAGCUUGUUGGUGGGGUAAUGGCCUACCAAGGCGGCGACGGGUAACCGGCCUGAGAGGGUGGACGGCCACAUUGGGACUGAGAUACGGCCCAG
rnacentral:rRNA from 1 species